AUGAAACCCUGCGCAGACGGUCGGUCAAUGCGACUUAAGCAACGUGCAGUCAUUGAAUUCUUGACAGCAGAAGGUGUCACCCCAAAGGAGAUUCAUCAGAGAAUGCAAACUGUUUAUGAUGAUUGUGUUGAUGUGAGUACUGUGCAUCUUUGGGCAAGUAAGUUUAAAGAUGUUGAGGUGGGAACAUCUGACUUGCAUGACAAACAAAGAGUUGGAUGUCUGGCAACAGCAACCACCGAGUUUCACAAGCAAAAGGUUGACAGAUUGAUUCAGGACAAUCGUCAUAUCACUCAGAGAGAAAUUUCAAGCAUAAUUGGCAUUUCACAAGAAAUACCCUUCUCCCCAUACAGCUGGUGCCCAAUAAAGGUGGUGAAGGGUUAGUUGCCAUUGUGGCAAUAGUGUCACCCAAUCAUGAUUAAAUAACGACCAGGAAUAUGAAACACCUAGAUUAAUUCUUGUGUAGCAGUUUGUAUUCACAAACACUACUGAGAAUUAAAGCUCAUUUUUUCAUCAUAUGGAAUGUGGUAAAAGUAGUGACAUCAACAUGAGUAUACUUUUAGGAGAAUAAGUCUUUUAGAGAAGAAAUAUGGCAACAUGCUGAGAUCUUGGAAAUGUACCCCACUUGUAAUAUAGACAGCACACAAUAAAAUCCCAAUGGGUUAACUGGUAGAAAUAAAUUAUUUGAAGCAAACCAGGAAACAAUGAUUACAAGUUUUGCAUAUCUUUACAUUUCAUGUAGACAGAACAUUUUGGCCUCUAUGGCUUUACUAGAAUAUCUGUUCUAGUGAGCUUGACAACAGAAAGAAAUUUGAAUGUUGAAUUCAGGCAUUUUAUUAAAUAUUGUACGAAGGCAGCACUUCAGACCCUUAAUGCAUACUUUCAGAAAUUGUUCAGUGGAAAGCUGUUGCCUCCUGCAAAUAGUUCAGCCUCUGAAGCUGAUCAGACCUCCCCACUUUAAUAUAUCUUCCUACUACUAGAUUUACAUUUUAAACAUAUGCACACAUAUUGGAGAUGAAGCCUUAUUCCCCCCUCUCCUAGAAUUAUUCUAACUAUUAAAAUGGAAGAAUCACUAAGCCAGUUGAAGAACUGAAGAUACAUGUCUCAACUCUCAUUUUACAUGUAAUGUUUUAACUGUUUACUAAUAUUAGAUCUAUUAAUAAAUAUGUCUUAAACGUUUGAUUUAUAUAUUUAAUUUCUAUUUUUGUUAUUUUUGUGUUGUUCGAUAAGUACACCUGAUGUUGUUCAUUCUAUUGUUUAUGAUUUGAUCUGUUUGUUAUGUUUUCACAUGUAUGGUUGGCAUUGAAUUUUGUCAUUAUUAUGUUGUAAACCGCUUCGAGUCCCCCUGGGGGCGAGAAAAGCGGUAUAUAAAUGCAGUAAAUAAAUAAAUAAAUAAAUAAAUAAAGUUGUGAAAUAAGUCAAGACUUUGUACACCUGGAGCCCUCCUUUUUUGCCAGGGGAUUUGGAAGGGGAGGGAUAAGUAAUUAUAUUAAUAUUUAAAGCCACCAGUCAGCUAAUGAAAAGACUAAGCAGUAUCUGACAGUGCCUGUUGAUGGCUCUUUCAGAAUAAUUCCUUACCGUUCUUGAGCUCUUAAACCAACUGUUUGAAAUCUGCUAGUUUACCAUGGUUCGGCAUACUGAGAAACACAUACUGAGCAGGUACAUUCUGAGAAGCAGCCAGGGGAAAAACUAGAUUGAAUAGCUAUCAGAGGGAUAUGGACUAACUUGGACAUUGUAGCUAACUAAGUAACUCAGAUGUAUGAUGAGUUGGGUCUGGUAAGAUCAAAGCAGCAGCAGCUGUUUUAAAAACUCAGUUUCCUCUAAUUUCAGUGCUCUGAUCUUGAUUUUUUUCUUGCCGGUCAAGCUGAAAGCUUGACAGGAAGGAGGUGAACUCAACUGUGGAUGAUACCAUGUGUUCAAUGAAUCUGCUGCAGAGAUGACAGAAGGGGAAGUAUUAUGCAUUUAUUCAGCGAAGCGUCAAUACAGUGGCAGUUCUAAACCAAACAAAAGUGGAUUUCUGAAAAGAUUUUGUUCCUUAUCACACAAUGUGCAAUACCUACCGGUAUUACCCCUAAACAUACCCCUAGAAUAUCGUUCUCUCUCUUGGUAUUUAUAGUUUUUUAAAAAUACAUAUUAUUAAAAUGUGUGAUAGUCUUGUCAUUUAAUAAAACUCAGAAGUGUUUUCAAAGUUUGCUGUUUUCAAAUUACUGUGUGUGCAUGUGCAUUCAUGGAUGAACUUUAGAAGCAGUUAUGGUAAUUAUGGGAUACAGUCUUUGUAAAGUCCUCUUACAGCAAAGACUUCUAUUUCAGUUUACUAUUUACCUAUACAUAAUUAUUUGACACCAAAGUACAAGACCGAACAUGAACUUUGUGCAAUUACAGGUACAUUUCCACAAAUUUAUUUCAAGAGAGGUGUUCUGCCUACAUGCUUAACUAAGUAAACUGGAAGGACACCAUAGCACAAAGCACAGAUUGGAGACUGUAUUUGGCCAAUUAAACAAUGUUUUAUUAACAGACAAUUGAACUUCCUUUCCCCGAUUGCCACUGUAGAGUCUCUGUGUGAAAAAGAAACCUUUGAAGUCUAUGCAGUUCUGGUUCUCAAAUAUACUUUGUUUCUGGAUGGUUAUUGCUAUAUAUGAGGGUUGAAUGAAAAGUAAUGCCUCCACCUUCGUUACUUGGGUUUGGAUGGGAAUAUUUUAAUUAAUCAAAGGCAGAAAUAAUCCUUAGAAUGUGCUCUUUAACUACCACUAUUCACUUUUACACAUAAUCACCAGACAAUUGGAUACAUUUCUUCCAAUGAUGAACAAGUUUUCUGAAGCUGUCACAGAAGGUGUCGACACUUGGUUUCCGCAAUCAGCAUCUCACAAUACCCAUCGUGCACAGAUCUUCCGAUAGCCAAGCAGAGCAAUGAUGUGACCCACACGUUCUUGUGAAAUGUCAAUUAUGCUUGACAUUUCUCUCUGAGUGAUACGGCGAUUGUUCUGAAUCAAUCUGUCAACCUUUUACUUGUGAAACUCGGUGGUUGCUGUCACAGGACGUCCAACUCUUUGUCAUGCAAGUCAGAUGUUCCCACCUCAACAUCUUAAAACUUACUCGCCCAACGAUACACAAUCACCAUAAACAGCUUGCAUUCUUUGAUGAAUCUGCUUUGGGGUGAUACCUUCUGCUGUCAAGAAUUCAAUGACUGCACAUUGCUUAAGUCGCAUUGACCAACCAUCUGCGCAGGGUUCCAUACUUCUACUUUAACAACACAACCGUUCAAUGCUAAGGCUCCCCACCAAAUGGAAGUGUAGAGGAGGGUCUACUGAACAAGCCAGUACCUGCCGCAUACCAGUACUGCCAUCUGUUGAGGAGUUAUGAAGGUGGAUGCAUUACUUUUCAUGCAACCCUCGUAGUAUAAAGUUCCAAUGUGACUGGAUUCUGUAUAUAUUUAAACUAACUUUAAUAUAAUGCUGACAUGACUUUAUGUAUCACUCUUUAACUUAAAUACAAUUCUGACGUGACUUGAAUUGAUUCAGUUCCGACGUGGCUUAAAUUAAUACAGUUCCGACAUGACGUGAAUUUCUGCACAUCUUCUACCUUCCUAUGCUUCCUUCCAGUACUAAACACUAAGUGACAAAUCUUAACUGACAAAAAUAACUGCCAUUUCAAAGCUAGCAGAAGCCGAGCUAAGCUCCACCCCCCUCAGAUCCUUAAAGGGGCAGGGCAGUAGGUGAGAGCCUUCUGGUUGGCAGGACAAAGGGAGUCAAUAUUAGUGAUCUAGCUGGAACUGCUU
ensembl:lncRNA